rnacentral:rRNA from 1 species
AUUGAACGCUGGCGGCAUGCUUUACACAUGCAAGUCGAACGGUAACAGGUUAAGCUGACGAGUGGCGAACGGGUGAGUAAUGCAUCGGAACGUGCCCGAUCGUGGGGGAUAACGCAGCGAAAGCUGCGCUAAUACCGCAUACGAUCUCAGGAUGAAAGCAGGGGACCGCAAGGCCUUGCGCUCACGGAGCGGCCGAUGGCAGAUGAGGUAGUUGGUGGGAUAAAAGCUUACCAAGCCGACGAUCUGUAGCUGGUCUGAGAGGACGACCAGCCACACUGGGACUGAGACACGGCCCAGACUCCUACGGGAGGCAGCAGUGGGGAAUCUUGCGCAAUGGGCGAAAGCCUGACGCAGCGACGCCGCGUGGGGGAAGAAGGCCUUCGGGUUGUAAACCUCUUUCAGGAGGGACGAAGCCACUCGGGUUAAUAGCCCAGAGGGUGACGGUACCUCCAGAAGAAGCCCCGGCUAACUACGUGCCAGCCGCCGCGGUAACAC